GGGCCAGCAACAUUAGAUUGGUCUGCAAGAGUGCGUCUUGGAGGAGUUUCUUCAGCCAUCUCCUUUGCUCUUCGAACUUGUGAAGGUGAUAGUAAUCUGUCAGGAGAAGGAAACAAAUCCCUAGAUGGGCGUCUGACUCUCCUUCUUUCCCUUGUCUCACUUAAGCCUUCAAAAAGAGGUUGUGUAUUUUUCUUGCUCCUAGUAUGUCUAGUCUCCUGUUGCAUGCACAAGAAACACAAACCCUAGUAGCACUUUUAUAUAAAAAAUAAAAAAUAAAAAAUAAAAAAAUAUAAAAAAAUAAAAAGAUAAAAACAAAAUAUAUACAAUCAAGUCAAAGUUAAUCAGUUUACACUACUAGAUAAGUUAAACCACGAGUCCCCAGCAACGGCGCCAAAAACUUGUUAAGUCCCUGGCAAGUGUACCAGAUCGUUAUCAAGUAAUAUAAAAUGGGUAAGUCCAAGUAUCGUUUCCCAAAGGACUCUUAGGC
rnacentral:lncRNA from 1 species